UUUGACUCAACAMGGGAAAACUUACCCGGCCCGGACACNGGAAGGAUUGACAGAUUAAGAGCUCUUUCUUGAUUCUGUGGGUGGNGGUGCAUGGCCGUUCUUAGUUGGUGGARCGAUUUGUCUGGUUAAUUCCGAUAACGAACGAGAMUCUAGCC
rnacentral:rRNA from 1 species